AAUUCGUUUGGUGGAUAGUGUAUACACUUCUACUUCCGAGCGUUUAAUUGUUUAUUUUCCAAUCAUGUAAACACAGCCAGACGUAUUUUUACUCUGUAUAUAUUAAACGCCUCAAUUUGUAUAUAUAUGCAGUGCUCCGUUCUCAUCGCUUUACAUAAUUGCAUUUUAUCUCUUCGCACCGCAGAACGUUGAAAUAUCUGGCGGUUUGGAGUAAAGCAGCGCUUACGUUUUGACCAGAGUUGGUGAUUUUUCAACAGAUUGAACAAACAUUUCCCAGCCUUUUGAACUUAUCGGGUUUUUAGUCCAAAUAAACUUUCCAAUCCUUAAGAGUAAACUCUGGGAUAUAAACAAAAGUUGUUGAUGCUAACUUAGAAGAAGGGACGGUUGGUUUUGAAGAUGGUUUUGGAUUCUUCCAGUUGUGACUCAAGAAUCGACUGGGAAGGAUCUUUUCUUGGUCCAGGAUUUUUGGGACAAGGUAUUUUCACCAAUUUUGGGUCAUUGUAUGCCAAAUUUAAGGCUACAUUUUCUUGAAUGAGGAUUUUAUCUUCAAUGUCAUUGCAACGCAAAAUGAUAUAUCAAUAUUGAAACUUUCGUCCAAACAGAAUAACACAUCCUGGUUAGAUCGCAAAUAUCAUGAUACUGAAAUUACAAUCUAGCCAAAUCAGCGAGUUACACCAUAAUAUGGCAACCCUGACACCAGCAGAAUGAUCAAAGUAGGAGCAUCCUUGAGAAAAAGAAGAGCACACGGGACAAGUCGGCGUAUCCGUCAACACCCUAUCGGAGCGAGGCGGGGCUUCGGGAACGCGAUCGUAUUUUUGCUCCUCCGCCAAUAAAGGCCGACAAUGGAGAACAAGAGAAAGGGGGAUUGUUUAUACAAUUCGAACAAGGACCACCCGGUCAAUGGGCGGAAACAGAAGCACCAAAUAACGACAUCAUUAUAAGAAAUAAUGGCAAAUGAAAUGGAAAUUUUAUGUAAAAUUGCAGAUGAAUACGAUUUUUUGCAUGUUAAGGAAUGCUCUUGCAUUGUUAGUGUUGGAACUAGAUUUUUGGUAGCCCUUUCCAGAUAAAUGAUAGUGACCUUC